rnacentral:rRNA from 1 species
GACGAACGCUGGCGGCGUGCUUAACACAUGCAAGUCGAACGGAAAGGCCCUGCUUUUGUGGGGUGCUCGAGUGGCGAACGGGUGAGUAACACGUGAGUAACCUGCCCUUGACUUCGGGAUAACUUCAGGAAACUGGGGCUAAUACCGGAUAGGAGCUCCUGCUGCAUGGUGGGGGUUGGAAAGUUUCGGCGGUUGGGGAUGGACUCGCGGCUUAUCAGCUUGUUGGUGGGGUAGUGGCUUACCAAGGCUUUGACGGGUAGCCGGCCUGAGAGGGUGACCGGCCACAUUGGGACUGAGAUACGGCCCAGACUCCUACGGGAGGCAGCAGUGGGGAAUAUUGCACAAUGGGCGGAAGCCUGAUGCAGCAACGCCGCGUGCGGGAUGACGGCCUUCGGGUUGUAAACCGCUUUCGCCUGUGACGAAGCGUGAGUGACGGUAAUGGGUAAAGAAGCACCGGCUAACUACGUGCCAGCAGCCGCGGUGAUACGUAGGGUGCGAGCGUUGUCCGGAUUUAUUGGGCGUAAAGGGCUCGUAGGUGGUUGAUCGCGUCGGAAGUGUAAUCUUGGGGCUUAACCCUGAGCGUGCUUUCGAUACGGGUUGACUUGAGGAAGGUAGGGGAGAAUGGAAUUCCUGGUGGAGCGGUGGAAUGCGCAGAUAUCAGGAGGAACACCAGUGGCGAAGGCGGUUCUCUGGGCCUUUCCUGACGCUGAGGAGCGAAAGCGUGGGGAGCGAACAGGCUUAGAUACCCUGGUAGUCCACGCUGUAAACGGUGGGUACUAGGUGUGGGGUCCAUUCCACGGGUUCCGUGCCGUAGCUAACGCUUUAAGUACCCCGCCUGGGGAGUACGGCCGCAAGGCUAAAACUCAAAGGAAUUGACGGGGCCCCGCACAAGCGGCGGAGCAUGCGGAUUAAUUCGAUGCAACGCGUAGAACCUUACCUGGGUUUGACAUGGAUCGGGAGCGCUCAGAGAUGGGUGUGCCUCUUUUGGGGUCGGUUCACAGGUGGUGCAUGGCUGUCGUCAGCUCGUGUCGUGAGAUGUUGGGUUAAGUCCCGCAACGAGCGCAACCCUUGUUCACUGUUGCCAGCACGUUAUGGUGGGGACUCAGUGGAGACCGCCGGGGUCAACUCGGAGGAAGGUGGGGAUGACGUCAAGUCAUCAUGCCCCUUAUGUCCAGGGCUUCACGCAUGCUACAAUGGCUGGUACAGAGAGUGGCGAGCCUGUGAGGGUGAGCGAAUCUCGGAAAGCCGGUCUCAGUUCGGAUUGGGGUCUGCAACUCGACCUCAUGAAGUCGGAGUCGCUAGUAAUCGCAGAUCAGCAACGCUGCGGUGAAUACGUUCCCGGGGCU